ensembl:misc_RNA Metazoa_SRP Metazoan signal recognition particle RNA
GCUGGACGUGGUGGUGGCACGUGCCUGCAGUCCCAGUGACUUGGGUGGGAGGUUGAGGUGGAAGGAUCGCUUGAGCCCAGGAGUUCUGGGCUGUAGUUCGCUAUGCCAAUCAUGGGUCUGAACUUAAGUUUGGCAUCAAUAUUGUGACCUCCCGGCAGUGGGGGACCACCAAGUUGCCUAAGGAGAGGUGAAUCGGCCCAGGUUGGAAAUGGAGCAGGUCAAAACUCCCAUGCUGAUCAGUAAUGGGAUUGCGCCUGUGAAUAGCCACUGCACUCCAGCUUGGACAACAUAAAGGGACCCCGUCUCUA